rnacentral:rRNA from 1 species
UACGGGGGGGCAAGCGUUGUUCGGAAUUACUGGGCGUAAAGGGCGCGUAGGCGGCUCUUCAAGUCAGUCGUGAAAUCUCCGGGCUUAACCUGGAAAAGUCGAUUGAUACUGUCGAGCUAGAGUGUGGAAGAGGCAACCGGAAUUCCGUGUGUAGCGGUGAAAUGCGUAGAUAUACGGAGGAACACCUGCGGCGAAGGCGGGUUGCUGGGCCAACACUGACGCUGAGGCGCGAAAGUUAGGGUAGCAAACGGG